rnacentral:lncRNA from 1 species
CCUAUCCAACAAAGCCCAAGCUUACCCAUGAUAAGGAAUACAAUAGUGAUAGUGGAUGUGUCCAAAACACAUUUAUUUUUGUCCUUUCAUAAAAAAAGUGAGACUCGCCAUAAUUAGAAUUUUUAUAUUUUUUUAAAAAUCAUAAUUAAGGUGAAUUUCAUUUAUUUGUGAAAAGAUAAAAUGAAUAUAUCUUAUAUAUUUGAAUGUUUAUUAAUCAUUAUUCAUCAACGAAACCCGCAGCCCUUUAAUAAUACGAGAGGGCACCUGAUUGGUCACAUCAAUCAUUGUACAGUGUUCAGCUUCAUACCUUGAUUUCUGUCAGUCAUGGAAACAAGUGGGGUCUUGCUUCCACCAUGGAAACAAAGCUGCUUUUUGUCGCCGUCUUUCUCUCUUUUUGAUUUUUACUUAUUAUUUAUUUUCUUGAUUGAAAUCAAAUUAUAAUGUGAUGGGUAUUUUAUGAACAAAAAUCACAUUUCUUCCCUUUAAUUCAAUGUCAAUUCUCCCCCUCCAAACUAUUUCCACAAACUCAACCUUGCAAGAUAUUGAUAAAGUUCAUUUGAUGAAAUUUUAGGAAAAUACUACAAUACACAUCACACAUCAUUUGUAUUCAUUGUGUGAUUGGGAUUACGUCAAAAUUCACUAUUUUUUACUAGUCAAACUAGUUAUUUUGUAUUCAUUGUGUGAUCUAUCCCUAACAAAACAUCUCAUAACAAUGACCAUAAAAAUUCAUACGAUUCUUAAAAGUAAGUUUAACUGGCUAUUCAAGUAGCCUAAUAUUAUUAGCUAUUAAUUUAUUUAAAGUACAAAUUAAAUUUUCUCAUCAAUAAACUAUUUAAAUGGGGUGUGCACUAACACCCCAAAUCAGGGGUAUGUAAUAUAGUUUUUUUUAUAAAUUUUAUGAAUUUAAUAUUUUUAAGUACCAAAAUUUCUGUUAAGAGUUAUUUCAAAAAGGUGUGCUUUGUCAUCAAGAUUUAUUUAUGGGCAACUUUGAUAAUAGACUGUUCUUAAUCUUUCGGUAUAUAUAUGCAAACAUAGUGUGAUAUGUCAUGUAAUCUGGAUUGUAUUUUCACACCUAUGGAUUCGAAUAUAUGAUUUCCAUGUUUUAUUUAUUUUUGUGAUGAUUUAUUUAUUCUUCAUUUCAUGAUUACGGUUACAAAUUUCGCCAACGAUGAAACUUUAACUUUGUUUCCGUAACCAUUUUUUGCUCACAUUAGCAGAUAUAGUACUAAUUCUUUGAUCUAAUGGGAGAAGAAAUUGACGUGUUUUGUAGACUGUAAAGCAUCUUCUUAGGAGUGGAAAAAUAGAAAGUAAAGAUAAAAUGCAAAUGGGAAGGUACACCGGCAUGGACGUCUUGCUCAGAGCCGAAGGAUGUGCAAGAUGGACAUUGGACAUUCCUCCAGAAGCUGGAGACUUUUAAAAGCUUCAGCCAUUCCUCCUCUUGCAAGGGCAAAUCGAUCUUUAAAGGCCUCGUGGUAUGCCCCCAGGUGUACAUUAUCAACCACACGAUGAAAGAAAUGCCACCGAAUAACAUGGUUGUGCAAGAGGGAGCUACCAAUGGCCCACAAAUGGAAGUAAUCAGCAAAUUACCUCAUUUCUGUGUGGUGGUAGCAGUCCACAAAUAGACGCAACAAGGGCGUACGUCGAAGACAAUCUGAUCCAGGGUUGAGUGGCUUGAGAAAGCGGAAGGAGAGAAAAGGAUGCAUUGAUGGUGGUGCGUUAUUCUCGAUCCAGGCGUCCAAGCAGGGGUGAAUCAUCCUGGUGGUGUUUGGCAGGAUAAUUUAACCGACGGUUCAGCUAACACAGAGCUUGUGUGAAAGCCGGCGGGUUGUUCUAACUAUCCACAAACGUAUAAAUCCACCUCCGCCGCAAUACCAGUUUCGUUGCAUCUCUUAGACGCUUUUGUGGCUUCAUAAGGGGGCUACCCUUAAAGCGCAAGACAUUUAUGUGGAUUUAACUGGCGAUUUAUGUGGUGUCAAUCACAUCAAUGGCCUUUAAACAUAUCGUAUUAUUCUAAUCAGUCGCCGAUCACUACAAAAAGGGACAGGGAAUCCCUCCGUCACACAAUGUUUGUUGCAGUACCGGUGUGGUGGGGCUUUUGCUCCCGGGCACACGAUGCGUUGGCCGGAAGGUGCGUGAAGCGCGAGGGGUAGUAAUAUUUUAAAAAUGGGCAACACACGAUGGCAACCAACUGUUUCAAAAUGGAUGAGUAGGUGUGUGAAGUCCAGCCCAAUAGAGGAAGGCCCAAGAUUCAAGCCCAAUGGCCCAAGCCAAAUGAAGCCCAAGCCCAAUAGGAAUAGUGAAUUUAUAUUGAGGAAAAUGAAUGGGAAAGAGACGGAAAGAAGAGAAGAGAAGAGGAGAAGAGAGGAAGAGAGAGAAGAGAAGCUGUAAUGUCAGUCUGUCAACAGAGCUGCUCGAAGGAGUCAAGAGAGGUCCUCCCUUACCCAGAAGUAUCAAAUGGAGGCGGUAUGAGCUCAGCCAUGAGCUCAUAUCUCUUCUUAUGCUUAUAAAUUCGAAGAUUUCCAGAUCAGAGGAGAGAUGUGCAGAGGCAAGAUGUAAUCCUUGGAGGAUUACCGGAGCAAAAGUGUUGCUGUGUGCAGAGAGGGCUGAGAGAGAGUUGGGUGGGGGGGGAGUGCUAGUGUGCUGUGAGAGCACCGAGAUAGAGCACAAAGAGAUAUGGCAGAGGAGUGGGCUAGAAUGGUAGCUGUGAGAUAUGAGAGAUAGACAGUGAGAUGGAGAGAUGAGAGGUGCUGAGAGGUGAGUGGAGAUGAGCUCUCCCUAUUGUCUCAUUGUAAUUCAUUUCUGUGAUAGUGAAUUAUUUGUUCCACUCAGGGGUGUAUGUAGGCAUUGUUGGUCGAACCACGUAUAUCUGUGUCUCAUGUGGUGUGGUUGAUGUUGGUGAUUGACUGGUAACUCGUUUUGGGACACAAACCAUUGGUUAUCAGAGCCACGUUCGAUCACCGGAGAGCACCGGAGUACCACCGAGGAAGUACAUCUUCGAAUUCUGAGCAAAAUUCGAAUUGCUCAAAAUGAGAUUUUGGAGGCAUACCCUAGAUUCGUCCGCCGAGACGAAGCUUCAAGCACCAAACGGGAGUCAAAAUCGCUCAGACUCCAAACGAGCCCUCAUCACGCCGCCGCCUGACAUUUCGGCGCGUCAGAUCCACGCGCGCCCACACGCCCCACGCGGCUCCAGGCGAGGAACAGGGAAGACGACCUGAAUCCAUGCGCCACCAUGCGCCCCCCAUGCUGUCCGUUGUCUCUUGUGAAAGCCAGACAUAAUCAUAAGCCUUUGAGAAAAAGGUAAAGGAGGAAAAAGAAAAAGGAAAAGAAAAAUGGCAUAAUGAUUGUGUUGGCAAUUAUGGUGGUUAGGGAACCUAUCAUAGCUUUGGACCAAGCCAUGGGAAUUUCAAAGGGCGCCUAUCCAGCCAUGAUGACCAGAUGACCAAGACAUAAGCCAUUGACAAGCCGCGAGCCCUGUUGAUGUUUGACCCAGCCGCGAGAGCCGCGUGACCAAGCCGGCUGUUGUUGACCGAACAGCCUGUUGACCGUUGAUACGGUCAACGGUUGUGGACCAUUGACAGCGUUGCACCAAAAUGAAAAAGUACACUUUGGCCUGAACUUUGAUAUUUUCAAUUUGGUCCCUGAAGUUGGGAAAUUGCCAGUUUAGUCCCUGGACUUGGGAAAUUGCAAUUGGUCCCUGAAAAAUUGAAAAAUUUCAAUGUAGUCCUGACAGUUCUGAUUUGACAAUUUGGGUCCCAGAGAGUGUCGAUUUUUUGCCGAAAAAGCCCUUCUGAGUUUCUCGGCAUUACGGAGUUCAUACGCUGAGGCGGUUUUAAGAGAGAUUGGCUUCCAGUUGGAGAAAGAAGUAAAAAGGCGAAUUAAUUUGAGAGCCCUGACAAGCGUUCAGAUGCGGAUACGCCCCAGGAAAAAAACCAAGGAUGAGGAAGAGAUGAACAGGAAGAUGAUUGGCAUAUCAGACAAGCAUUGAACACAGGAGUGUUCCAACAAUGUAGCACGAUUUGAGCGAGUGCUCAUGGGUUGUGGACCAGAGUGAAGGAGAUGUACGGGAGAACCCCAUACAUCUCAGUACCAAAAGCCUUAAUGAGGAGGCUUGUGUGCAACUUCAGAGAGGGACUACAGUGGCGGAACAAUACGAGGCGAUGUUCCAGAGAAGGGCCACAGGAGAAGGUCAAGAGAAUGAGGCCAGAGGAAGAGAGGUCUAAAAGAGAGGUCACAGAGUUCAGGAAGAAGAGGCAAGGAAGAGAUAUCGGCAACAUGAAGGCAGAUGACAGAACCAGAGGUCCACUUUAAGUGCCUUGAUUGCGACCAGGAGGGACAAGAAGGAACUGGCCAAAGAACAAAGCACCACAGAUCAGUCUUCAAAAGGCAGCAACAACAACAGCAAUGAUUGCUGUAGAUGAGCGUGAUGUUCUCCUAGUAGGCAUCGUGCAGAUGAAGAGUCAGAUUGAUUUCUGAUUUCAGGAAUUGCUUACCACUUGUGCAGAACAGAGUUGUCUCUACACAUGUAGCAUGCGAGCGGGACUUGUUUUGUUCGGAUGGCUACGAUUUGGAUUGUUGGCAAAGGACAGUCCGGUUCGCAGACGAAGAUCCAUGAAGGUGACCGGGGUGGGUGGUAGCAUGUUCAUGGAGAUGCAGGAAGAGAAGCGAUGAAGCUUGAAGCUAGCUGGAGGAACACUCAGAGGUUCCAAGGGAAACAGGAGAAGCUGCAGGGAGAAGGAAGAAUGGAAGCUAUACCGACUGAGGGAGCAUGUCCAGACAGGAGGCUGCCCGACAUAGGUCCAGGUAUUAAGCAAGAUGGAAUGGACGAGAAGGAGGAAAGCAACCGUUGCAACAAAGGCACGCAAAGAAAGCGCAGGAGUACUGAUGGAGGUACUUGAAGGUCCACAGUGGAUGGAAAGGAGCGCAAGGGAGAGCUUUGGGCUACGUGCAGAAAGUCUGGCCAGACACGAGAAGGUGCAACCGUGACAAGGUGAUCGAUGAAU